UUAAUGCCUCUGUUGCCUCACAAGAAAGUCCCAUACCAAUGCAUUUGGCGCACCUAUUCCUCCACUGCAAUGCCCUCGUCCAGCGUACUAGAUUAAAGAGGGAUGUUUUUCACGGUUGGAACAUGAAAUCUUGAAAGACAAGCUGAUUACAACAGAGAGACAGCGCGAGGGGGUGGAACGGCGAACACAGCAAAAGCCAGAGAAGAGGACCUGACUGUACUCGUCUUUGUUCCUCAGCUCCUUGGAAACACGGAUGAAGCCGGAGCUGGUCUGAGGGCAGUCUCGCACCUGCAGAAAUGAAAGACCUGUUUUAUUAUUACAAGAAGCCAGCUGAUGCCACCAGCUACAGUAAAGACGGUAGUCCCUCUCCCAGGCUCUGCUGAAUCCCCAGUCUUUUCUCUCUCCGCUCAGAGCAGUCAGAGCCGCCACCUUCGCCCGAACCUCCAGCAUGUCAGACGGAGGGAUGUUCUUCACGAUCUGCCUCGCCCACCACCUGACAACAAGGGAUGAGAACAAGACAGCGUGUCACGUGGGUGGCGUAAUACAUCAAAGGAAAAGGACCAGGAUGGGGAUGAGGGCGGCUCUCUCCUGUUCCAGAGUGAAGAGAGACCGUGGCGUUCGGACAAACAGCUUGGUGUGUCCGUACGCCACAUCGUCCUGGAAACCAUGCUGGGUGAUGAUGGCCUCAACGGCUUCUCUGUCCGUGGGCAUCAGGUGGUUCGGCCAGGUGUACUCACACGUCAUUUUAUACCUGCAGAAGAUUCAGGAGGAGAAAAAUCAGGCCUUGCAGUAUGAUGACAAAGGUGCCGCUCGUUUGUUUGGGCUACUGUAAAAACGUGGUGGCGCAAGAUGGCAACAUCCAUGUAAGAGGAUCUGCGGUGUAUGUAGAUAGAAAUGACUCAUUCUAAGAUAAUAAAAACAAAAAAUGGUUCAGUAUCUAAGGUCUUUAUACACCACUGAAAACAUAGUUUGUGUGUAUGUAUAGUGUAUAUUUUAAUGCAUCUUUGCCAAUAUAUCCUCCUAAAUAUUACACACUGAACCUUAAAGUCAUGGGGAGUACUACUCGGUUGGAUUAUGUCUUCUGUGGGUCUGGAGAAGCUUUAUCAAUUCUAAGAAAAUGAAUUGACACCACCCAGGUAUCUUUGCCUUGGCAUAAAACAAAGCCUACAUUACAAACUGGGCAAAGAUGAUGAAAGACGAUGACUAUUAAAAAUGAGAGAUUAUUAAAAAUGAGGGCAUUUAACAGGCAAGAGGGGUUUAAAGGAGACCUAUUAUACUGCUUUUCCAGUCCUAUACUGUAGUUCUGUGACUCCAGUAUGGCAGCUUUGUAUGAUUCAAAGUUAUAAAAAAAAUAUUUCUUAUACUGACUCUUCCAGCCUCUGUCUGAAACAAGCUGCAGAUGCUCCUGUCUCUUUAAGGCCCCACAGCUCAAAGCCCUGUCUUUUGAUUGGCCAAGACCUGAAGCAUGUAACCAGGCUGCCAUUAGUGUGGGAGCACAUGACCGUAUAUGGAACACCGGCUCCGGCCGGCUCCGUAAUACGUAGAACGGAGCCAUUGGUAGAAAAAGCAGUUCAAAAUAGAGAGGAGGAAAUCUGAGGUUUUUGCUCACAGUGAUAUCUUAUAAAUGCUUUAACCUCAUUUUUUGAAGCUUUGGCCAUGUUUAACAUGAACAUCCAACAUUAUAACAUUGUAGAUAAGUCAUAAAAUGUGGAAAAGCAUAAUAGGUCUCCUUAGGUGUAGUAGGAUCUAGUAAGUCCCAUAACCAUAAGUAUUUUUCCUCCAUCCAUGAAGUCAAUGUCUGUCUCAAAAGGAGAAAAGAGAAAAAUAGUUUGUGCUUUCUGUCAUCUCACAUGCAACAUUGUUCUCCUCUGUUAAAUGUAACUUCUACGUUAGUAGUUUUGAGUAAAAUGUCA